AGUUAAAAAUUUUAUCUAUUUGUAUUGUUAAAAACUGAGUUAGCUGGCAGAAUAAUCAGAGAAUGACAUGUGGCAUGCCACGUGUAUCUCAUGUUGACGUAUAAAGAUCAAUUUUUAACAGCAAAAAGCGAUGAAAUUUUUAACA
rnacentral:pre_miRNA from 1 species